GUAAGACUAUGUAACAAAAAUAUUUGCUAUGUAACAAAAAUAGUAAUUUCCCUCCUAAUUACUUUGUGUUUCAUUUGAAAAAUAUGAUUUUGAUAUUAAAUGCAGGGUAGUGAUUCAUAAAUAGUUUUUUAAAGGCUGUUUGGUUUAGAAAAUAUCAUUUAAUGUACUCUAUUAAUAAAAUUACAGCCUGUGUCUUUCUAGUCAUGUCUAACAGCUGGUGACACCUGGAGCUAGCCAGGAAAAUGUCUAGUGAAACGGAUGGGCUUAGCCCCAGGCCUUGAAUGGAACAAUUCAGAUGCUGUCCAACCCUCCCAGGUGAUGGGAAUUUCAAAAGGAGAUUAACUCCUCAGUAUUAAAAUACCUUGCCCUGUUCCCAUUAUUCCCAUCUAGAAAAAGCAUGCUAGAAAGUAACAACAAAACUUUGACUUUAAUAGUUAUAAAUUAUGAAAAUUAUCAGUUAGUUGAACUCAGAUAACUCCUCACUCCUUUUCAUUCCUAGAGGAUAGACAGUGAAGUGCAACUACAGCCCGCAAAUGAAAAUGAAUAAAAUUAAUCCAGCCCCUCAAGGCAGUCAUCUGUCUUAGAGCUAUUGGAAUCCUGGAUCAUUGUGGGAAAUGAAAAAUACUUCGAUGGAAUCAGCAGCCAUUGAUCCAAUGCCAACUCCAAGACUGGAACGUCGCAAUGAUAGUUCCAAGGCGGAAAUUUGACGUAAUUCUUUUCGACACAGUUUUACAGGCAUCUUGCAUGUGAAUAACUCACAACUUUAAUUCAUGGAACAAAUUGAGAAAUAGUCUUUUGGGGGUUUGGUACUCCCUGGAAACAUAAGAGUGCUUUGGGCACCUCUGGUGCCUUUCCAUGCCUGCCUUCUCUGCUGUUCUUGCUACUAGUGAAUUCUAAAUCAUGGCCAAGUGAUGCCAGCACUGGAUAAUAUUGGCUCUGCCCCAUAUCUCGAGGGAAAACUCUGGGACUUGGCAUUAUAUGUGUGGGAAUCUGGCCUUGGUUGGCACUCCCAGCAUGAUAGCAGGGUUCUGCUGUCUGAAUGUACUCUGGGGUGUGCGCCACAAUUUCUGUCAUCGAAAUGGAGAUGAGAGAAUAUGCCCUUGGUGGGGACACCCCACUGGAAUUAGAGUGAAGAGAUCAAAGCUAGAGGUUCUUAAAUCAAAGAAUGUCUAAUAGCAAAGACAAAAACUUGCUUAAGAGAAAUGCAUACAGGUACUAGACCUAAUAUGAUGAAAAAUGCUAACUUCAACAUAUUGAUGCAUGCUUAGUAUACUUUUAGUCCUGCAAAGACAAAAGUUUUUUGUUUGUUUUUUUUUGAGACGGAGUCUCGCUCUGUCGCCCAGGUUGGAGUGCAGUGGUGUGAUCUCGGCUUACUGCAAGCUCUGCCUCCUGGGUUCACACCAUUCUCCUGCCUCAGCCUCCGGAGUAGCUGGGACUACAGGCGCCCGCCACCACGCCCGGCUAAUUUUUUGUAUUUUUAGUAGAGAUGGGGUUUCACCGUGUUAGCCAGGAUGGUCUCGAUCUCCUGACCUCAGGUGAUCCGCCUGCCUUGGCCUCCCAAAGUGCUGGGAUUACAGGCAUGAGCCACCGCACCUGGCCCAGUCCUGCCAAGACAAAGUUUUAAAACACAGGUUGCACAUUGGCAGCUCUCAAGCCAAAUCUGGCCCAUAGACAUGGUUUGCUUGGCCUAUAAUGUUAGUAAUACUUGACCCAAGAUUUAAAAUUUGAAAAGUUUCAUAUAAAAAUAUAGAUUUACAGCUUUUCUAGAAAAACUAUAAGAGUUAACAGUUUCUGAAUUGCAACAGCAGCUGGAACACCGUUGCCACUGACCAUUUAGAUGACUGCUGCAGUCCCCACGGCUCACUCUGGUUCAGGUAGGGGUUCUAGUUUGUAACCCCUGGUUUAAAACAUAACUGACUCUCUAGUUUUUAAAAUUCUCUCAAAAUCAAAUAACCUGAACUAGCAAAUGAUCUAGAUCCUCGUACAUGGAACUCAUACUAAGUUGACCACAGACAGUGGCUCCCAAACUCUGCAGUACAUCAGAGUCACUGGGAAGCUUUAAAAAAUCCUGCUCCCUAGCUGGGUGCAGUGGUUUAUGCCUGUAGCCCCAGCUACUUGAGAGGCUGAGGUGGGAGGAUUGCUCAAGCCCAGGAGUUUGAGGCUGCAGUGAGCCAUGAAUGUACCACUACACUCCAGCCUGGGCAACAGAGCAAGACCCCAACUCUAAAAAAAAAUCCUGCUCCCCAGGUGACAGUAUCUGGGGGAAGGAGUAAGGCAUCUUAUUUUCAAAAGAUCAUAAGAAAAGAGGCUCAUUGCUGAGGCUCACUCCGGAGCCCACUUGGAUUCUUCACAAGAAAGUUUCCCUCUUCCAGAAUUUUAUAAUUGAGGGAACCGACUAGGGAAAGAUUAAUUUGCCCAAGGUCAAACAACUAGUAAAAGAAGUAAGGAUUCCAACCCAGAUCUUUUGACUCUAUUAUCCUUACAUAUAGUUUUAUAGUGAUUUAAAUUGAUACAAGGAUAGGUUUAAAUACAAGUAGAAUGCAGGUUCAUAUAAAACUGAUUUUAUCCUCAUGUUAGAAAACAUAUACACUGUAACAGAGGGAUGACCAUCAAGUGACCAAGAUAUUUUAGUCAAAAGAUGAAUUUUUCUGCAAUUGGAGAAUGCCAAAAAUAUUCAAAGAAAAUAUAAGUCUUGUAGGCAGUCUUCUAUCAAAACCCACUGAACCGCUGGGCACGGUGGCUCAUGCCUGUAAUUCCAGCACUUUGGGAGGCCAAGGCUGGUGGAUCACCUGAGGUCAGGAGUUUGAGACCAGCCUGGCCGACAUGGUCUCUACUAAAAAUACAAAAAAUUAGCUGGGCCUGGUGGCGGCACCUGUAAUCCCAGCUACUGAGGAGGCUGAGGCAGGAGAAUUGUUUGAACCUUGGAGGUAGAGGCUGCAGUGAGCUGAGAUAGCACCACUGCACUCCAGCCUGGGUAACAAGAGUGAAACUCCAUUCAAAAACAAAAAACAAACAAAAAAAAAACAAUGCACCAAAUACUAAGUUAUUAACUAGGAUACUGAUUAUUAAGCAUGUAAAACAUUUUAUGGAACUCAGAGUUUGAUGUAAAUUGCUAUAUUUUAUAAUUCAAACAAACCUUGUUUCAUGUCAUUAUAUUAGAGUAGCAUUAUGAGACAGGAUAUAGUGUAAGCUAUAUCCCCAAUAUAAUUGCAACUGUAUAUUUUAAAGCAUGGGGAAAAUAUGAAAAGAAUUAUGCUCAAAUGUGGGUAGGAUUAUAACUGAUUUGUUUUCUUCAUUUUCAGAUUUUUCUAUAAUGACUAUACAUUAUUUUUAUAGUCAAAAAUAGAAGUAUUUUAAAUGUUUCUAGGUAGAAUAGCAAAUUAGCUGAAAUAGUAUCUCCAACGUUAUUAUCAAGACUAGACUCCUUGGGUAAAUUGGUCAGAACAGUGUUGUUCUCAUUUUACACCUCUCCAAGAUUAACUAUGUUUUAGAUUUGUGUGUGUGUUUGGUUAAAGAGCCAGGAUGAAGAUCCAGAGUUCUUAAACCUGUAUACCACCAUACUACAUUGUCAUUUUAAAGAAAUGUCUAGUAGACUCGGUGGCAUAAACAUGGGCCAUUUACAAACUAGAUGUCUAAUAUCAGAUACCUCAAAUUUGACAGUAGACUUUUUUUCAAAGCUAAAGUGGUCUUAUGUUGACUAUUUUGUUUCUUACUUGAUACUUGUUUACUUUUUAAUUUUUGGCAAGUAAUGUUUCAAGUUAAAGUUUUAGCUAUAUAUAGCAGGCAGUAUUUCAAGUAAAUGAGUUACAUCAGUAAACACCUCUGUAUUACUAAACUGAGAAUCAGAAAAUGUAAUCUCUUUGGCAGGAUUCGUAUGUUUGUAUCACGUCUUUAUCCUCAGGCAACUUUUAUCUUGGAAUACUGAACCAGCAGUCAGAAUAUGAGGGACAUUAGACUGUGUUAUAGUUACUGUUCUGUCCUUAAGUCACUUGCCUUCUCUAAGUGUCAGUUGCCUCAUCUGAAAAUGGAGUUAGCAGACCCCAGCCUAUCCUGAGUUUGAGGGCUAAAGGGAAUUAUUCUUGAAAAUGUCUAUACAUGAUAAAUGUCACAAAUAUAACUUAGCAUUUUUUUUUUGAGACAGAGUUUCGCUCUUGUGGCCCAGGUCGGGGUGCAAUGUCGUGAUCUCAGCUCACUGCAACCUCUGCCUCCCGGGUUCAAGCGAUUCUCCUGCCUCAGCCUCCUGAGUAGCUGGGAUUACAGGCAUGCACCACCACACCUGGCUAAUUUUGUAUUUUUUAAUAGAGACGGGGUUUCACCAUGUUGGUCAGGUUGGUCUCGAACUCCUACCCUCCGGUGAUCCACCCGCCUUGGCCUCCCAAAGUGCUGGGAUUACAGGCAUGAGCCACCGCACCUAGCCAAUUCUACUUCUAUUACAUUUUCAGCAUAUAUCACUUCAUUGCUCCUCCAUAUUAUUUUUCACUGGUCUUCUUACAUCUUGUGUGCCCAUAUUUAAGUAGUUUUCUUUCCAGGUAAAAAAUACAUGUGUGCCUAAAAGAUUUUAAAGUCAACUUUUCAUAAACCAUACCUAAAUUAUCAAAGUUAUUAGAAUUAUUAGAAAGUAUUAGCUAAUUCUUUUAUAAAAUGUAGACUUUAUUAUUUUAGAAAUAUUGAUUCCUCUCUAUUCAGCUAUCUUAAAGAGGGUAUAUUUUAAUCAUCGCAAUAUAUUACCUUCAUAGUAUUUUUUACUUUUGCAAAGUAUAUUUUGUCAUGUUAUUUCAUUUAGGAAUGCACUAAAUCUACAUAUCUACAUAUGAUUAUACAAGGAAACAUCUUUGUCUCAAAAAUGGGUUCUAUUACAUUUUUUAAUUUCCAGGGGUCAUGAUAUAUAAAAAGACCUGAUUUAUCUUAAAAAUACAUACUUUUAUUCUUACCUACCAUACAUCUUUUUUUGUGAUAAUCAGAAGGCUUAAUUUACUAUAAAAUAGGAAAACAACAGCUAUGUUAGAUUAUAUAGUUAAUUUAGGGAUUAAAUGAGUUAAGGUCUACAAGCCCCUGGCACAUGGCAGACAAUCAAUAAUUGAUCAUUUCCUUUGCAUCUAUAAAUUUGUUCAUUCACUUCUCAUGUGGUUCUACCUUAGACAACGAUUUUUGUUUACAGAGACAAAUAGAAGUAUCUAAUCCUAAAUAACCCAAUCAAUUGGUAAAGGCUACACUACAAAGCUGGCAUGACUUCACCAAAUGCUAGAGAAACAGUGUUAAGAGUGACAACACUAAAAGUCUUACACUCUGAUGAUGCUAGUUGCCGCCGAAUUGCUUCCCCUACCAGUUCCUUAAGUUUCUUCUUAUGAUCCCGGCUGGUUUUCUUAUAGAAAUAAAGAUCUUUUUCCAACUGCUGGAUUUUAUCUUCAUAUGUUUUGAAAGUUUCCAUAAUGCCUUCUCCAUCUUGUUCUAUACAACAAAAAUUUGCAUUUAAAAUCAGUUUUAAAUAAAUGAUGCAAAAUUAUGUUUUUGUUUGUUUCUUUGUCUUUUUGAAACGGAGUCUUGCACUGUCGCCCAGGCUAGAGUGCAGUGGCGUGAUAUGCUCGGCUCACUGUAAGCUCCGCCACCCAGGUUCACACCAUUCUCCUGCCUCCGCCUCCCAAGUAGCUGGGACUACAGGUGCCCAGCACCACGCCCGGCUAAUUUUUUUGUAUUUUUAGUAGAGACGAGGUUUCAUCAUGUUAGCCAGGAUGGUCUCGAUCUCCUGACCUCGUGAACUGCC
rnacentral:lncRNA from 10 species